GAACCCCGCCAUCAAUAACUAUGUCUAUGACCUGUCCAAUACAUCACGGAAGAAAGGAAUAAAGCUGAUUCCCCACUGGCGCUGCGGUGUUUAAGAAUUCAAUGGAUGCACCCUGAGUGAUGUCGUAAGUCGUAAAAUUUAUCAUAAGUUAAAACGAACGUAGGCAGAAGAAUCGACCAUGCUGGCGUGACAGUCAUCAUGUUUGGCUAAUCGCCUCUCGCGUUGGUAUAUGGCAUACCAUGAUUGCUCUUAAACACUCUUAUGUAUAAUACAGUUUAUGCAGAUGGUCAGCCAAGAUCCUAAAUCAGGGGAGUAGGAAGGUUGAGAAACGCUAAGAGCUUAUUGCUAUAAGAGCACUGGUUUUAAGGGCGGAGUGUCUGUAUAUGCGGUCGGGCUGGGAGCGUAUAGUACGAUCCUUCACCAAAUUAUCUCGCAAAAGAAAAACAAUUUUCACUUGUCUAAUCUGGAUAUAGUUCGACGGCAUGUCACUCGGUUUUCUACGGAGGUAAUGAACAGAUCGCUUGCCUGCCAUCUGGUUAGUUUUGAUUUAGACACAAUAGCUGGGAAAUUCUAACUAUAGAACGACACUUUGAAAGGAAAUGUCUUACAUUGGUAACAAAGGCAAACAAACAUCUUCAAGUGGACUAAAGAGAAAUCUUCACGUUGUCUCAUGAUUUCUAGCUUUAAAAGACUUAAAAUAACGACAUGUAUUUCGUUUUUAUGGCCCAUUUUCACGAUUUGAAAACAUACCAUUUUAAACUAUACAUUUCCUGUCUAUAGCUACAAAAUUUUAUUAUUUUUAUACUAUGUACUACUAUAUUAUUGCCCUAAUUUUUAUUAUGAUUGUUUAUUUUAUCAUGUACGUUUUCAAACAGACGAAAAAACCCCAAUUUGUUGUGGGAUAACCAUCUUUAGUUUUUCCCUACUGACGUAUUGUGUGAAAUUCAUGUCUACUUUACUGCUGUAAAUUUCACACACAAUCCAGAUGUGAUUGGAGAUCAGUUGAAAUAAGUGCCUUUGUGAAGGGAUCUGUUCAGUUUCAAACGUGCAUCGAUUCAGCUAGGUGUAAUUAAAUCGAAAAUGCUUUGGGGCAAUAAAAUAUAAUUGCUUAAUUGUUAUCGAUCUUGGAGAUCAAAUAUUAUCAUAAUGCAGUUAAGGUAGAGAUGAAUUUUAAGAGCCUUUUUUAUUGUUUGCAUUCCUAGUGAAUGUUGCUGUAAGACCAUUUUAUACACUUUCAAUUGACCAUCUGCGUAAUAGACAAAAUUUUGAUCUAAACAAGUCUAGACAAAUAUUUC